GUGCCCAACUGGGCAGAGGGAUCCUCCUCCUAGCAUCACUGGUUCCUGCCAUUGCUGUGCUGAGCACUGCAGGGGAGGUCUGAAGUACUCCAAGAGAUGAGCUCUCACCUCCUCCAGGAUGCUCAGACCUGCUCAGUGCACUUCAGCCAGGAUGCAGAGAGUGCUGCUGAAAUCAAGAAGUGGGGAGAGAAAUGUUUGCAGCAAGCAGGAGACCCUCAAGCAUCCAAAGGAAGGAACACAGCCAAGGCCAGGUUGAUUUCCUACUGGGAACCACCCUGAGCUUGGCAUUGCAUCCAACCACAGUGCCAUGGAGAACUGGAGAAGGGGCUAAAGCCUGGGCCCCACAGGAGGGAGGGCAAAGCUGCAGUGGUUUCUCCUGCCCACAUGUCCAUGUUCAGACACAGGGAGAGGUUCUGCAGUCAGGUCCAAGACAAUGUAAGAUGGAGCAACACAUCUGAGUAGGUCAUGGAGACCUCCUGAAUCCACUGAAGCCCUACCCAUGGCCAUCAAACCCACGUCUCUAAGUGCCAUGGCUACAGGUUUCUGGAGUGCUUUCAGGCAUGGGAACUCCAGCACCUCCCUGGGCAGCCUGUGCCAAUCCCUGACCACUCUUGCAGCAAAGGAAUUUUCCCUCCUCUCCAACCUAACCCUCCCCUGGCACAA